UACGUAGGGGGCGAGCGUUGUCCGGAUUUAUUGGGCGUAAAGAGCUCGUAGGCGGCUUGGCAAGUCGGGUGUGAAACCUCCAGGCUCAACCUGGAGACGCCACUCGAAUACUGCCAUGGCUAAGAGUCCGGUAGGGGACCACGGAAUUCCUGGAUGUAGCGGUGAAAUGCGACAGAUAUCAAGGAGGAACACCGGUGGCGGAAGGCGGUGGUCUGGGCCGGCACUGACGCUGAGGAGCGAAAGCGUGGGUAGCAAACAGG
rnacentral:rRNA from 1 species